rnacentral:pre_miRNA from 1 species
AAAGUACUCCCUCCGUUCUGAAUUACUUGUCGCAGGUAUGGAUGUAUUUAGAUGUAUUUUAAUUCUAGAUACAUCCAUUUCUACGAUGAGUAAUUUGGAAUGGAGGGAGUAGGAG